rnacentral:tRNA from 1 species
CCUGGUGGCUCAGAGGGUAAAGCAUCUGCCUGCAAUGCAGGAGACCUGGGUUCGACCCCCAGGUCAGGA